AGCCGCAGCUCUGGAAGCCCGCUUCGGACACGGCCUAAGCUUACAAUGAGCACGCGCGCGCGCGAGAUGACAUGUUUGGCUCGCGUUGUCGGGAUUGUUUGUAUAUGACUUAAUUCACAGGAGACUGUGAUCCCUGUAUGAGCCUUGACCUGAACCAAGAGAGAACACUAAUUCCUUGGCAUCAGAGGCUCCUUUGGUUCAUGAAUGACUAGGACAUGCAAGCAGCCCCAUCGCUACCAACAAAAUGAAUACUCCAACCAACACGACUCUUCUCAACCAAUUAGGCUGUGCUUCUACUCAAGGUGGAUCAGCAUUUGGGGAUGGCAGCUGAAACCUUAACUAGAAGAGAUUGACUGGCUGAAAAAUAGUUUCCCUAGUUUCAGCAGUGACAGAGAGACAAGAAGAAGCUAGUCCCUGGACAAAGUUUUCUGAAGUGUGACAGAUCAGAGGUAUCAUAUCACUGGGGACAAUACUUGACAGUUGUAGCAUUGAUGAAGAGACAAGACUAGACCCCUGGGAGACGGUUUUCUGGAUUGUAACACUUCACCAGAUAUUUGUUACCGCCAACACUACUCACUU